GGUCGCGCGAUGCCUCAAUGCGUCCACCGACACCGCCGCGCGCGCCGCUCUGAGCUGUGGCCGCCUCCAUAUUGUCUAGUACAUUUGUUUCACUCGCACAUGGCGCAGCUCGCCGCCGCCAGAUGUCACGCACCUCUCACCGCACCUCGCAACGCACCGCAAAACGCACCGCCAGUAGCUGUGGCAUACUUCAUAGGUUGUCUACCAUUUGUUUUCGCCGCUCCCGCUUGCCGCGCCUCACGACGCACCGCUCUCGGCUGUGGCCAAGGGGUAAGUGUCGUACUGGUGCGGCCCGUACAGAUAUUUCAUACCGGCCACUAGUGACGUCCGCUGCGUCUUCUCGAUAUUUUCAAUGAAUUUCGUUUUCCGCUUCGGCUACGACGGAGUCACGUACAAAAGCUCGGACCUGUCUUUCAUGUACCAAAACGGCCAAGUGUUCUACACGGACGAGCCCUGGGCCGGGAUGUCGUGCUGGAACUGGGCCUGCAAGUGGCGGCACAACCAGAACAUGCGCUCCAAUGAGUUUUUUGUUAAUUAAAUAAAAUAUGAAAUUAUU